rnacentral:rRNA from 1 species
AGGACGAACGCUGGCGGCGUGCUUAACACAUGCAAGUCGAACGGUGAUCCUGGGAGCUUGCUCCUGGGUGAUCAGUGGCGAACGGGUGAGUAACACGUGAGUAACCUGCCCUUCACUCUGGGAUAACAUCGGGAAACCGGUGCUAAUACUGGAUACGACCUGAACAGGCAUCUGUAUCGGGUGGAAAGAUUUAUUGGUGGGGGAUGGACUCGCGGCCUAUCAGCUUGUUGGUGAGGUAAUGGCUCACCAAGGCGACGACGGGUAGCCGGCCUGAGAGGGCGAUCGGCCACACUGGGACUGAGACACGGCCCAGACUCCUACGGGAGGCAGCAGUGGGGAAUAUUGCACAAUGGGCGAAAGCCUGAUGCAGCGACGCCGCGUGAGGGAUGAAGGCCUUCGGGUUGUAAACCUCUUUCAGCAGGGAAGAAGCGAAAGUGACGGUACCUGCAGAAGAAGCACCGGCUAACUACGUGCCAGCAGCCG